GUAGUGUGGUCCAGGUAGAGGGCUGGGUUCCCCUGGGUCCUGUAUGGUAGUAGGUACCAGUAGAGAGCUGGGUUCCCCUGGGUCCUGAUGGUAGUAGGUACCAGGUAGAGGGCUGGGUUCCCCUGGGUUCUGAUGGUAGUAUGUACCAGGUAGAGGGCUGGGUUCCCCUGGGUCCUGAUGGUAGUAGGUACCAGGUAGAGGGCUGGGUUCC
rnacentral:lncRNA from 1 species